rnacentral:rRNA from 1 species
AUUGAACGCUGGCGGAAUGCUUUACACAUGCAAGUCGAACGGCAGCACGGACUUCGGUCUGGUGGCGAGUGGCGAACGGGUGAGUAAUAUAUCGGAACGUGCCCAGUCGUGGGGGAUAACGUAACGAAAGCUACGCUAAUACCGCAUACGAUCUACGGAUGAAAGCGGGGGAUCGCAAGACCUCGCGCGAUUGGAGCGGCCGAUAUCAGAUUAGGUAGUUGGUGAGGUAAAGGCUCACCAAGCCGACGAUCUGUAGCUGGUCUGAGAGGACGACCAGCCACACUGGGACUGAGACACGGCCCAGACCCCUACGGGAGGCAGCAGUGGGGAAUUUUGGACAAUGGACGCAAGUCUGAUCCAGCCAUUCCGCGUGCAGGACGAAGGCCUUCGGGUUGUAAACUGCUUUUGUACAGAACGAAAAGGUCUCUAUUAAUACUAGGGGCUCAUGACGGUACUGUAAGAAUAAGCACCGGCUAACUACGUGCCAGCCGCCGCUGUAA